GAUUUGUCAUUUACAAAAUAUUUUUGUUUGCUUCAUUGUAUGCAUACAUAAAAAUACUAGUACACAAUAAAAUUCUGCAGUUGAUGAUUUCUUUCUGUGUGUUUGUAGGAGAAAAGCUGAAGUUAUGCUUGGGCAUGGAUUGUUCUCAUUGCUAGCUGAGAGACUCAUGCUUCAGACAAACCUAAUCACAAUGACCACAUAUAAUGUCCUCUUUGAGAUUCUCAUAGAACAGAUUUGUACUCAGGUGAUACACAAACAGCAUCCAGAUCCCGAUUCUUCAGUAAAGAUACAGAAUCCUCGUAUGUAUUUUACACACUGUAAAAAAACUUUCUCUUGUCCCUUAGAAAGGAAGUUGCUGUGUAAUACAGCUUGUUAGUUGAAUAUUUUCUUAGGGGCAGUGCUGUCAGAGUAGUUUUAUGUUGAAUGUGACAUCAAAUUGACCUUAAAUUACAUGGGUUAUAUAAAAGUUUUGAAGAAAUACGUUUAUAAGAUUUUGAUUUAGUAUACAGAUUUUAGCAAAGUUUUGUAUAUUCUGUUUGAUGAUAUUAGGCUAAAUUACAUGAACUGUGGGGGCAAUUUUCAUUUUAAAUUAAUGUCAAUUUAGGAAUAC
rnacentral:lncRNA from 1 species